CGUGUAGGCGGUCCAGCCAGCGGUGUGUGAAAGCCCGGAGCUCAACUCCGGAACUGCACUCCGAACUGCUGGGCUAGAGGACAGGAGGGGGAUGUGGAACUCUAGGUGUAGCGGUGAAAUGCGUAGAUAUCUAGAGGAACGCCGGUGGCGAAAGCGACAUCCUGGCCUGUAUCUGACGCUGAGGCGCGAAAGCGUGGGUAGCAAACA
rnacentral:rRNA from 1 species